AAAGAGACACCUUUCAAAGCCUAAAAUAGCCAGUGUUUAGACAAUUGAUGGAAUGAGAAUGCUUCAGACACUGAAGGGAGGUGAUCAUAGAAUUAUGAUCCAGAAGAGAUACAGAUGUCACGAGUCAGCCUAUUUGGAGACAUCACCUGCAAUGAAUGAUUUCCAGAAACACUCACUCAGUGGAGUCAGGGAACAAUAAUGAAGGUUAACUGUCCAAAGGUUUUCAAAAAAGCUCUUAAUAUAUUACUCCAUGUUAAAAGUUGUCAGCACCAUUGGCAAGCAUUAAAGAUGAACAUGAAGGAGUUGUACUUUUCUGGAUGUGAUUAAUUUUGGCACAGUGCUUGUUCCCAUGGCUAAGCCCAGUGUGCACUGCUGUUCUUGUCAGAGGCUCCAGAAAAAUCAAAGGAUCUCGUAUUAAACAGAGGGUUGGCAGGUGUGCUUGGAGAUGUGUGGCUGGAAGAUGCUCAAUGUCCUCUACUUGGUAACUUAUUUCCUUCCACUGCAAGAACCAGUUUUUCUGUAGGGUUUGCAAUUAUGGAGUUGGAUGGAGUAAAUGAAAGCACCUGACGUGAAUAGUGGGUGAGGAGAGGGUGCAUCCUGGGACGCUGGCCAGAGGAUGGGAAGUCAA